UACGGAGUGAGCGAGCGUUACUCGGAAUUACUGGGCGUAAAGCGCGCGUAGGCGGCUUGAUAAGCCGGUUGUGAAAGCCCCGGGCUCAACCUGGGAACCGCAUCCGGAACUGUCAGGCUAGAGUGCAGGAGAGGAAGGUAGAAUUCCCGGUGUAGCGGUGAAAUGCGUAGAGAUCGGGAGGAAUACCAGUGGCGAAGGCGGCCUUCUGGACUGACACUGACGCUGAGGUACGAAAGCGUAGGUAGCGAACAGG
rnacentral:misc_RNA from 1 species